UCAACGCUGGCGGCGUGCCUCAGACAUGCAAGUCGAACGCGAAAGUCUCCUUCGGGGGACAAGUAGAGUGGCGCACGGGUGAGUAACACGUAGGUAAUCUACCUUCGGAUGGGGAAUAACAAUCGGAAACGAUUGCUAAUACCGCAUAAUGCAGCGGCACCUAAUGGUGACAGUUGUUAAAGCGGGGGAUCGAAAGACCUCGCGUCUGAAGAGGAGCCUGCGGCGGAUUAGCUAGUUGGUAAGGUAAUGGCUUACCAAGGCAACGAUCCGUAACCGGCCUGAGAGGGCGGUCGGUCACACUGACACUGACAUACGGGUCAGACUCCUACGGGAGGCAGCAGUCGGGAAUUUUGGGCAAUGGGCGAAAGCCUGACCCAGCAACGCCGCGUGAAGGAUGAAAUCCCUCGGGAUGUAAACUUCGCAAGAACGGGAAGAAUAAGCGAGGGUUAAUAUCUCUCGUGAUGACGGUACCGUUUGUAAGCUCCGGCUAACUCCGUGCCAGCAGCCGCGGUAAUACGGGGGGAGCAAGCGUUGUUCGGAUUUACUGGGCGUAAAGGGGGCGUAGGCGGUCAGCACAAGUCAGUUGUGAAAUCUCCGAGCUUAACUCGGAAAGGUCAACUGAUACUGUGCGACUAGAGUGCGGAAGGGGCAACUGGAAUUCUUGGUGUAGCGGUGAAAUGCGUAGAUAUCAAGAGGAACACCUGCGGCGGAGGCGGGUUGCUGGGCCGACACUGACGCUGAGGCGCGAAAGCCAG
rnacentral:rRNA from 1 species